GCCUUCGUGGUGUAAUGGUAGCACGCUCGACGCUUAUUCGAGAGGUCUGUGGUUCGAGUCCCGGCGAGGGCA
rnacentral:tRNA from 1 species